AGAGUUUGAUCCUGGCUCAGGAUAAACGCUGGCGGCGUGCCUAACGCAUGCAAGUCGAACGAUGCAGCAAUGCAGAGUGGCGGAAGGGUGAGUAACACGUAGGAAUCUACCCGGUCGGAGGGAACAACCUAUCGAAAGAUGGGCUAAUACCCAAAAGGAUCCGAAAUGAUCAGAGUCGAAAGGCCUGACCGGAUGAGCCUGCGGCGCAUCAGCUAGAUGGUGGGGUAAGAGCUUACCAUGGNUACGACGCGUAGGGGGUCUGAGAGGACGUCCCCCCACACUGGAACUGAAACACGGUCCAGACGCUUACGGGUGGCAGCAGUGAGGAAUAUUCGUCAAUGGGGGAAACCCUGAACGAGCAACGCCGCGUGAAGGAUGAAGGCCCUCGGGUUGUAAACUUCUUUUAGGGGGGAGGAGAAAGGACGGUAUCCCCGGAAUAAG
rnacentral:rRNA from 1 species